AACGUACGCUGGCGGCACGCCUAACACAUGCAAGUCGAACGAAGUAGCAAUACUUAGUGGCAGACGGGUGAGUAACAUGUAGGUAUCUGCCCUUUGGCCUGGAAUAACACGAGGAAACUUGUGCUAAUACCGGAUAAGUCUUUACGGAGAAAGCUUUAUGCACCAUUGGAUGAGCCUGCACUUGAUUAGUUUGUUGGUGGGGUAAUGGCCUACCAAGACUGUGAUCAAUAGCUGAUUUGAGAGGAUGAUCAGCCACAUUGGGACUGAGACACGGCCCAAACUCCUACGGGAGGCGGCAGUGGGGAAUCUUGCACAAUGGAGGAAACUCUGAUGCAGCGAUGCCGCGUGAGUGAAGAAGGCCCUUGGGUUGUAAAGCUCUUUCGUCGGGGAAGAAAAUGACUGUACCCGAAUAAGAAGGUCCGGCUAACUUCGUGCCAGCAGCCGCGGUAAUACGAAGGGACCUAGCGUAGUUCGGAAUUACUGGGCUUAAAGAGUUCGUAGGUGGUUGAAAAAGUUAGUGGUGAAAUCCCAGAGCUUAACUCUGGAACUGCCAUUAAAACUUUUCAGCUAGAGUAUGAUAGAGGAAAGCAGAAUUUCUAGUGUAGAGGUGAAAUUCGUAGAUAUUAGAAAGAAUACCAAUUGCGAAGGCAGCUUUCUGGAUCAUUACUGACACUGAGGAACGAAAGCAUGGGUAGCGAAGAGGAUUAGAUACCCUCGUAGUCCAUGCCGUAAACGAUGUGUGUUAGACGUUGGAAAUUUAUUUUCAGUGUCGCAGGGAAACCGAUAAACACACCGCCUGGGGAGUACGACCGCAAGGUUAAAACUCAAAUGAAUUGACGGGGACCCGCACAAGUAGUGGAGCAUGUGGUUUAAUUCGAAGAUACGCGCAGAACCUUACCAACACUUGACAUGUUCGUCGCGACUCUAAGAGAUUAGAGUUUUCGGUUCGGCCGGACGAAACACAGGUGCUGCAUGGCUGUCGUCAGCUCGUGUCGUGAGAUGUUGGGUUAAGUCCCGCAACGAGCACAACCCUCACUUUUAGUUGCCAUCAUUAAGUUGGGCACUCUGAAAGAACUGCCAGUGAUAAGCUGGAGGAAGGUGGGGAUGACGUCAAGUCCUCAUGGCCCUUACGUGUUGGGCUACACACGUGCUACAAUGGUAUCUACAACAGGAAGCAAGACUGCGAAGUUAAGCAAAUCCCUAAAAGAUACCUCAGUUCGGAUUGCACUCUGCAACUCGAGUGCAUGAAGCUGGAAUUACUAGUAAUCGUGGAUCAGCGUGCCACGGUGAAUGCGUUCCCGGGUCU
rnacentral:rRNA from 1 species